rnacentral:rRNA from 1 species
UACAGAGGGUGCAAGCGUUAAUCGGAAUUACUGGGCGUAAAGGGCGCGUAGGCGGCCUUCUAAGUCGCACGUGAAAUCCCCGGGCUCAACCCGGGAACUGCGUCCGAUACUGGGAGGCUUGAAUCCGGGAGAGGGAUGUGGAAUUCCAGGUGUAGCGGUGAAAUGCGUAGAUAUCUGGAGGAACACCGGUGGCGAAGGCGGCAUCCUGGACCGGUAUUGACGCUGAGGCGCGAAAGCCAGGGGAGCAAACGGG